rnacentral:rRNA from 1 species
GAAUGCUGACAUAAGUAACGAUAAAGCGGGUGAAAAGCCCGCUCGCCGGAAGACCAAGGGUUCCUGUCCAACGUUAAUCGGGGCAGGGUGAGUCGACCCCUAAGGCGAGGCCGAAAGGCGUAGUCGAUGGGAAACGGGUUAAUAUUCCCGUACUUGGUGUUACUGCGAAGGGGGGACGGAGAAGGCUAUGUUGGCCGGGCGACGGUUGUCCCGGUUUAAGCGUGUAGGUGUGUGUUCCAGGUAAAUCCGGUUCACUUUAACACUGAGGCGUGACGACGAGGCACUACGGUGCUGAAGCAACAAAUGCCCUGCUUCCAGGAAAAGCCUCUAAGCAUCAGGUAACAUCAAAUCGUACCCCAAACCGACACAGGUGGUCAGGUAGAGAAUACCAAGGCGCUUGAGAGAACUCGGGUGAAGGAACUAGGCAAAAUGGUGCCGUAACUUCGGGAGAAGGCACGCUGACACGUAGGUGAAGUGAUUUACUCAUGGAGCUGAAGUCAGUCGAAGAUACCAGCUGGCUGCAACUGUUUAUUAAAAACACAGCACUGUGCAAACACGAAAGUGGACGUAUACGGUGUGACGCCUGCCCGGUGCCGGAAGGUUAAUUGAUGGGGUCAGCGCAAGCGAAGCUCCUGAUCGAAGCCCCGGUAAACGGCGGCCGUAACUAUAACGGUCCUAAGGUAGCGAAAUUCCUUGUCGGGUAAGUUCCGACCUGCACGAAUGGCGUAAUGAUGGCCAGGCUGUCUCCACCCGAGACUCAGUGAAAUUGAACUCGCUGUGAAGAUGCAGUGUACCCGCGGCAAGACGGAAAGACCCCGUGAACCUUUACUAUAGCUUGACACUGAACAUUGAGCCUUGAUGUGUAGGAUAGGUGGGAGGCUUUGAAGUGUGGACGCCAGUCUGCAUGGAGCCGACCUUGAAAUACCACCCUUUAAUGUUUGAUGUUCUAACGUGGACCCGUUACCCGGGUUGCGGACAGUGUCUGGUGGGUAGUUUGACUGGGGCGGUCUCCUCCUAAAGAGUAACGGAGGAGCACGAAGGUUGGCUAAUCCUGGUCGGACAUCAGGAGGUUAGUGCAAUGGCAUAAGCCAGCUUGACUGCGAGCGUGACGGCGCGAGCAGGUGCGAAAGCAGGUCAUAGUGAUCCGGUGGUUCUGAAUGGAAGGGCCAUCGCUCAACGGAUAAAAGGUACUCCGGGGAUAACAGGCUGAUACCGCCCAAGAGUUCAUAUCGACGGCGGUGUUUGGCACCUCGAUGUCGGCUCAUCACAUCCUGGGGCUGAAGUAGGUCCCAAGGGUAUGGCUGUUCGCCAUUUAAAGUGGUACGCGAGCUGGGUUUAGAACGUCGUGAGACAGUUCGGUCCCUAUCUGCCGUGGGCGCUGGAGAACUGAGGGGGGCUGCUCCUAGUACGAGAGGACCGGAGUGGACGCAUCACUGGUGUUCGGGUUGUCAUGCCAAUGGCACUGCCCGGUAGCUAAAUGCGGAAGAGAUAAGUGCUGAAAGCAUCUAAGCACGAAACUUGCCCCGAGAUGAGUUCUCCCUGAGACUUAAAGUCUCCUGAAGGAACGUUGAAGACGACGACGUUGAUAGGCCGGGUGUG